rnacentral:tRNA from 3 species
GCCGAAGUGGCGAAACUGGUAGACGCGCUAGAUUCAGGUUCUAGUCCCCGCAAGGGGGUGAGGGUUCGAGUCCCUCUUUCGGCACAA